rnacentral:lncRNA from 1 species
GUCUUUCUGCAAUGACUACCUUGCUGAAAACAUGCGCCACGCGUCUUCAUGAUCUUACCUCCUCUGCUUACUCCCCUCCUCCCCAACUCCCACCAAAUAGGCUGAUCCUUGGCUGUUCCCUGCUUGUGCUGAGCUGUUUCAGGUUUCUGUGCCUUUGCUGGAAUAUCCUUCCUCUUCUCUGCCAGGUGAAUGCAUCAUCUUCAAGGUCGGCUCGAACAUCUCUUCCUGAGAAGUCUUCCUAGAUGUGUCCAGGUUGGAGAGGAUUCUUCCCCAGUGCCCAGCCUUGGACACACCCUGGCCAGAGCCAGCUGUUUGCAGACCUGAGCCGAGAGGAGCUGACGGCUGUGAUGCGCUUUCUGACCCAGCAGCUGGGGCCAGGGCUGGUGGAUGCAGCCCAGGCCCAGCCCUCGGACAACUGUGUCUUCUCAGUGGAGUUGCAGCUGCCUCCCAAGGCUGCAGCCCUGGCUCACUUGGACAGGGGGAGCCCCCCACCUGCCCGGGAGGCACUGGCCAUCGUCUUCUUUGGCAGGCAACCCCAGCCCAACGUGAGUGAGCUGGUGGUGGG